rnacentral:lncRNA from 1 species
GACUUCAGGAGAUCACAUCGGCAGAGCUUGACUUGGGUGAGCAGCACGCAGCGGCGCUGCCGGGCAGUCCUGCCAGCAGGUUUCUGCGCAGGGCUGAGCUCUGAGGUCCCGCAGGACACGCUGUCGCUUCCCCUCGCCAACCCGCUCCUGAGGCUGCCUGGGGUGUGCCAGGCCAGCACGCCUCGCUGUCUGCCAGAGGAUUUCUGCACCAGGCUGUGCCAUGCAUCGUGCUGGACCGCCGGCGUCACGUCCCAGGCUGGUGCAGCACACAGGGCCAGAGCUUCUCAUCGCAAGCUUGACGGUUCAGGUUUCCCUUUUGACAUCCAUCCGAAAUGGGCGAGUGCACGAUGUGAACCGCUGCUCUGAGCCAGUACAUCACCUCUUACACUUCCAGUGUUUCGCAGGGAUGCAUUUAUAUUGCAACACAGUUACUUGAGUAGGAAGGGGAGGGAGAGAAACAAACACAUCCCUGCUAAUUCCAGUGCGUUCCCAUAAUAUUUCCAACUAUAAAACCUCCUUAUUCCUUACUGGCAGCACACUGAGCAGAAUAAGCCGCAGGAACUCAGCAGACCCAGCUCCGUGCUGCAGCAUAUCUCCCAGCAAAGGACAGGCUUGUAUGUCUGCAAGGGAGGGCUGGAGGGUUUCCGUGGAAAAAAACUCCGUUUGUAGCCUUGCCAGCUGCACCAAAGAGCUCCUGGGGGUCACUGCAGCUGGGGCAAGGAGCCAAACAAGGGCAGGCCCUAGCCGGGCUGAGGCUGCCUGUGCUCUGCUCUUGGACAACAGCAGGGCAUAAACCUGUGGAGCAGGGCAUAAACGUGUCCCACACAGCCGGAGCUGAUUCAGCUAUGCAGGUUUAUGUGCACGGAGGCUCUGGGUUGCUUCCGUGGACCAGUACAGGGAAGAUCAGGCAUCUCCUUGUACUUACUCUAAGCACCAAAUCCAGUCUCACUUCUCUCUAAAUUGCAUACCAGAUGGGCUGGUUUUUAACCUGCCUCUGCCCUUAAAGAGCAAUUCCAUCCCUUGUCCCCGUGCUCUGGCCACUUCUGGUGCCAGCGAAGUGACUCCAUGCACGGCACUCGCCGGGACUUGGUGGAGGAGGUGGGCACUAGCCAGGGCCGGAGGACCGAGGCCGGCCUGCCAAGGCCCUUUGGCUAGCUUGGCUGGCGACUUGCACAGGCUGCUGCAGGCUCCAGGGUGGCCUCGCACUGCUCGCGCUGCUCGCACUGCUCUCGUGCCCCUGCCCCAGGCCCGGUGUCCG